rnacentral:rRNA from 1 species
UACAGAGGGUGCGAGCGUUAAUCGGAAUUACUGGGCGUAAAGCGCGCGUAGGCGGCUUUGCAAGUCGGGUGUGAAAUCCCCGGGCUUAACCUGGGAAUGGCAUUUGGGACUGCAAGGCUGGAGUGUGGCAGAGGAGACUGGAAUUCCUGGUGUAGCAGUGAAAUGCGUAGAUAUCAGGAGGAACACCCGUGGCGAAGGCGGCCCCCUGGGCCGAACCUGACGCUGAGGCGCGAAGGCUAGGGGAGCGAACGGG